GAAGCACGCCAGACCGCCGCUGGUGCAAGUCUCGAAAGAGCGCACUGGAGGAACGUCCGGACUGCACAGGGCAGCGCAGGAGCUAACGGCUCUCCACCGUGAGGUGAGGAUCAGAGCAACAGAGACGAGCCUAUUCAGUUAGGGUGAAACGGGCAAUCUCUGCGCGCAGCAACACCAAGUAGGCCAGCGUUGAGGCGGCCCGCUGAGCUGGCGGGUAGGUGGCACCGAGCCGGGUGGGCGACCUCCGGCCCAGAUUGAUGGCGGUCACACCACGGGCAACCGUGGUGCACAGAAUCCGGCGUAUCGGCGGGCUUCACAC
rnacentral:RNase_P_RNA from 1 species